rnacentral:lncRNA from 1 species
UAUUACUGUGUUUCUUUAGGCUGAAAUGUGAAAUCUCAAGCUGUAUAUCUGAUGAUUAAAAAGAGAGAUUCUGAAUCCAAAAGCAAUUAGACCACUGAGAAACUCAUUUAGCAUUAAUUCUACUUUUUAAAAUUGAAAAUAAUUAUACAUAUUCUUGGGGUACAUAGUGUUUCCAUACACAGAAUGCAUAGUGAUCGGAUCAGGAUAAAUAGCAUAUUCAAUAUCUCAAACAUUUACCAUUUCUGUAUAUUUAAAAUGUUCAAUAUUCUCCUUCUAGCUAUUUGCAGCUAUAUAUUAUUGCUAACUAUAGUAAUCUACAGUGGUGUACAACACUAGAACUCAUUCUUCCUAUCUAGCUGUAAUUUUGUAUCCUUUAACAAACUCUUCC